GAUGAACGCUGGCGGCGUGCUUAACACAUGCAAGUCGAACGAUGAUGCCCAGCUAGCUGGGUGGAUUAGUGGCGAACGGGUGAGUAACACGUGAGUAACCUGCCCCUGACUCCGGGAUAAGCUUUGGAAACGACGUCUAAUACUGGAUAUGACUGCCGGCCGCAUGGUAUGGUGGUGGAAAGAUUUUUUGGUUGGGGAUGGACUCGCGGCCUAUCAGCUUGUUGGUGAGGUAAUGGCUCACAAAGGCGACGACGGGUAGCCGGCCUGGGAGGGUGACCGGCCACACUGGGACUGAGACACGGCCCAGACUCCUACGGGAGGCAGCAGUGGGGAAUAUUGCACAAUGGGCGAAAGCCUGAUGCAGCAACGCCGCGUGAGGGAUGACGGCCUUCGGGUUGUAAACCUCUUUUAGUAGGGAAGAAGCGAAAGUGACGGUACCUGCAGAAAAAGCACCGGCUAACUACGUGCCAGCCGCCGCGGUAA
rnacentral:rRNA from 1 species